rnacentral:rRNA from 1 species
GCCUACAAAAGUCUCCAUAAAAACCCAAAAGGCAUCUGAUCUCGGAAGCUAAGCAGGGUCGGGCCUGGUUAGUACUUGGAUGGGAGACCACCUAGGAAGAUCAGGCGCUAUAGGCG